rnacentral:rRNA from 1 species
GAUGAACGCUGGCGGCGUGCCUAAUACAUGCAAGUAGAACGCUGAAGGAAGGAGCUUGCUCUUUCCGGAUGAGUUGCGAACGGGUGAGUAACGCGUAGGUAACCUGCCUGGUAGCGGGAGAUAACUAUUGGAAACGAUAGCUAAUACCGCAUAACAGUAGAUGUUGCAUGAUAUCUACUUAAAAGGUGCAAUUGCACCACUACCAGAUGGACCUGCGUUGUAUUAGCUAGUUGGUGAGGUAACGGCUCACCAAGGCGACGAUACAUAGCCGACCUGAGAGGGUGAUCGGCCACACUGGGACUGAGACACGGCCCAGACUCCUACGGGAGGCAGCAGUAGGGAAUCUUCGGCAAUGGACGGAAGUCUGACCGAGCAACGCCGCGUGAGUGAAGAAGGGUUUCGGAUCGUAAAGCUCUGUUGUAAGAGAAGAACGAGUGUGAGAGUGGAAAGUUCACACUGUGACGGUAGCUUACCAGAAAGGGACGGCUAACUACGUG